AAAGCCACCCGGCGAAGUUGUGUAGUUGAGCUGUAGAAGAGACGACAGUGAACUUCAAGAUGAUGUACAGAGCGCUGUUAUGUCUGGCCCUAUUCGUGGGCUCUGCAUCUGCCCAGGGAAGGGGGUUCAGCAACAACAAGAAUACAGAAUGCGGUUCCUUCCAAAUUAAACAGGCUGGCCGACCCACCAACGAGUCCAUGACUGAUGUUGACACACGUCAAGUUCUGGAUGACCUCAAAGCUCUCGACACCGACAAAGAUGGCAGCCUCACUUCCGCCGAAAUGGACGACCGGACAUUUGGAGCCACGUUCGACAGUUCCC